rnacentral:rRNA from 1 species
UACGGGGGGGGUAAGCGUUGUUCGGAAUUACUGGGCGUAAAGGGCUCGUAGGCGGCCAACUAAGUCAGACGUGAAAUCCCUCAGCUUAACUGGGGAACUGCGUCUGAUACUGGAUGGCUUGGAUUCGGGAGAGGAAUGCGGAAUUCCAGGUGUAGCGGUGAAAUGCGUAGAUAUCGGAAGGAACAUCAGUGGCGAAAGCGGCUUCCUGGACCAGCACCGACGUUCCGGCACGAAAGCGUGGGGAGCAAACAGG